UACGGGGGGAGCAAGCGUUGUUCGGAAUUACUGGGCGUAAAGGGCGCGUAGGCGGCCCGCUAAGUCGAACGUGAAAUCCCCGAGCUCAACUCGGGAACUGCGUCCGAUACUGGCGGGCUUGAAUCCGGGAGAGGGAUGCGGAAUUCCAGGUGUAGCGGUGAAAUGCGUAGAUAUCAGGAGGAAUACCGAUGGCGAAGGCAGGUCUCUGGGCUGACACUGACGCUCAUGCACGAAAGCGUGGGGAGCAAACAGG
rnacentral:rRNA from 1 species